rnacentral:rRNA from 1 species
UACAGAGGUCUCAAGCGUUGUUCGGAAUCACUGGGCGUAAAGGGUGCGUAGGCCGCACGGUAAGUCAGAGGUGAAAUCCCGGAGCUCAACUUCGGAAUUGCCUCCGAUACUGCCGUGCUUGAGGACUGGAGAGGAGAUUGGAAUUCACAGUGGAGCAGUGAAAUGCAUAGAUAUUGUGAGGAACACUAGUGGCGAAGGCGAAUCUCUGGACAGUUCCUGACGCUGAGGCACGAAGGCCAGGGGAGCAAACGGG